UCCUCAAAUUCCCCCUCUCAUCUCCCUCCCUAGGACGCAGCCGCCCACCGAAUCAAAUCCCGUCGCCGGGCUCGUCUGCCUCGUCGUGGCCGAUGAAUGCGUCGGCUGCGGCCACGCCCCCUCUCCAAACGGCGGCGAUGAUGGAGGGAGCAGCUCACGCUGCCAGGCUCCCGACCGAACGCGUCGGGUCAUCUCUCCUCAGGGCCAACCCCUCCUAUUCAUCACAUCUCUCCCUGACUCCGUCUCCUCCACGAGAUGUAGCACCACCCCACGCCAUGGAUGCCCUUGCCGGCUGCAUCUCUCCAUGCGCUGCCACUCCUAUGACACUGCCGCCUGACAGUCUCCACCAGCACCACGAUGGGCGUGGCCUCUGCACGCGCCGUCACCUCCCCUCCAGAUCCGGCCGUCGUCGAGGGCAUAUCCAUCCAGCAGUGCACCGUCACCUCCCCUCCAGAUCCAACCGUCGUCAAGGGCGUAUCCAUCCAGCAGCGCGCCGUCAUCCCAAUCAUCACCGUCCACGGCGUCAUCGCCCAGGCCCAGUCAGGGGCCGGCAAGACCUCCAUGAUCUCCCUCUUCGUCUGCCAGGUCAUUGAGACCAACGUCCACGAGUGAUUUCCGCAUAGCUUUUGUGUAUGACGGCUGGAGGACCAACUCAGACCUCGCUUGCCUCAGGGUCAGGAGGUCCAAGGCGCCACAAGACCGGGCCAGGAGUUUGUGUAAACCUGGGCCAGGAGUUUAUUUGAUAAAGGUUUCCAGAAUGAUUGGCCACGCCUACCUAAAAAGUUCGGAAUUUAACCAUGAGCCCCUUCUGGCCUGGUUCCAUAUUCCAAGGCCCUUCCAUAAUCCAAUUCUUUGUCCCGAACCAUCCAUUGAAGAACAUAGACUGUUCAGAAUAUCAGUUUGUUAUAUUUGCAUCAGAUGAACUAUGGGAGCACUUGAACAAUCAGGAAGCUGUGGAUAUAGUUCAUUGUUCACCUCGGAAUGGCAGCCAGUGGUGGAGUAAUCAGUGGUUUAUGAGGUCAUGGAGCCCAAGACCGGAUGCAGCAGAAGAAGCAGCGUCGUUGCCGUGCACUAAGAAGGCCAACAGUCUGUGAGGCGGAAGAUCCAUAGCAUACAGAUUCGAGCAGUUGUUUAUGCUCAUAGGACUACUAGAGAAGAUUUACAUGUAGCCUGAGAAGAAGACCGAUGAAGAUCUUGAUUGUAUCAGGCAUUUAGGCUAUGAUUUGGAGAGCGGAUGCGUUGGAUAUGCCAUUCCUCAAUGUGUACCUGGAUUCUCUUUGGGCACCUAAUUUUUGGGCAGGUGUUAUUCUAGCAGCCCGCUUCACUUUGGUCUUCAGAUUAAGCAAUUCUCUGCAUUCAAGGGAAAGGUCAAUAGCUGCUCUCCAAAGCCAACGCCGGUCUGUAUUCAUCUGCUGCGUCAGGUUGGCCACAACGAGGAGACGGACGCGACCGCAUCGUCCCAUCGACCUCCGGGGUCUUUGAUAUCUCAGGGUGUGUGUCAUGUUAUGUUGGGUUUCCUGUGAUUUCGGUGCGGGUAGCUACAUAGCGUCCGUGGGCCAUGCGUGUGACAUGCAUGCUAGGUAAUCUUGACUCCGGUGCGACGGUGCUGGAACCGCCUCCGCUGGUUACGACCGCUGUGGCUAUGCUUGAAGGCAGAAUCAGCACGAUGACUGUAGUGGCUGCACUCAGAUCAGGGCAGCCACGGGAUAUGAUCAAGCCUUUACUGUCGUCCUCUGAAUUUGGGAUCACGUGCAUCGGCAAGAGAAAUAGCAUGAGAGCCUAAGAGGGUAGUACCACGUUACGAACAAGUUGAUUUUUAUCCAUGGAAUUGAUCUGAUGCGAAGCUGAUGCCACAUAAAAGGACCAAGGAAUGAACACGAAGCAAAUUAUAACUCUCAGGUUCAUGGUUUAGGAGCAGGAAAGAACACUUCCAAUUGUGUAGAUGGGUCAUCAGUAGCAUUUCUCUAAUUAUCCUUAUAGAGACUGAUUUGGAUUGUUGAAGGAAAGGAUCUCAAUUCUCAAUAGCAAACUGCACUGGGACAUCUUGGACACAUUUCUGAGCUAGAUAUGUUGGUGAGCGGGCAGGCGGCGCUAGACAUGGCAGGGCAAGAGAGCACGAGGGAGAAUGUCAAAGGGGGCAACAUAAAUGAGAGUUCACCGUUAUGCUCAUGUGGUCAGAACCUAGAGCAUGGAUACAAGACCUCCAUCUUCUAUGGACAUCAGAGCAGAGGAGAAGUGAUGAUGGACAUCAGACCAGUGAAGACAGUGAGCAUGUGCUCCUAGACGAUACUUAUCAUAUCAUAUUCUCAGUGUGUAGUCAAAAACUGUAUGCCACAUAUACGUUGUGAAUUACUAUGAUAUUUGAUCAAUGAAUUUAUUUCUAAAAAAA